rnacentral:rRNA from 1 species
GAGUUUGAUCAUGGCUCAGGACGAACGCUGGCGGCAGGCUUAACACAUGCAAGUCGAACGAGAAUCUAGAGCUUGCUCUAGAGGACAGUGGCAGACGGGUGAGUAACGCGUGGGAAUAUACCCAGUAAUAUGGAAUAGCCCAGGGAAACUUGGUGUAAUACCGUAUACGCCCUUCGGGGGAAAGAUUUAUCGCUAUUGGAGUAGCCCGCGCUAGAUUAGAUAGUUGGUGGGGUAAUGGCCUACCAAGUCGACGAUCUAUAGCUGGUUUGAGAGGAUGAUCAGCCACACUGGGACUGAGACACGGCCCAGACUCCUACGGGAGGCUGCAGUGAGGAAUAUUGGACAAUGGGCGAAAGCCUGAUCCAGCCAUGCCGCGUGAAUGAAGAAGGCCCUAGGGUUGUAAAGUUCUUUUAUCGGUGAAGAUAAUGACGGUAGCCGAAGAAAAAGCCCCGGCUAACUCCGUGCCAGCAGCCGCGGUAAUACGAAGGGGGCUAGCGUUGUUCGGAUUUACUGGGCGUAAAGCGCACGUAGGCGGAUUGAUUAGUUAGGGGUGAAAUCCCGAGGCUCAACCUCGGAACUGCCUCUAAAACUGUCAAUCUCGAGACCGGAAGAGGUGAGUGGAACUCCUAGUGUAGAGGUGGAAUUCGUAGAUAUUAGGAAGAACACCAGUGGCGAAGGCGGCUCACUGGUCCGGUACUGACGCUGAGGUGCGAAAGCGUGGGGAGCGAACAGGAUUAGAUACCCUGGUAGUCCACGCCGUAAACGAUGAGAGCUAGUCGUUGGGAAAUUUAUUUCUGAGUGACGCAGCUAACGCAUUAAGCUCUCCGCCUGGGGAG